rnacentral:rRNA from 1 species
CGUCUAUAUACGUAUAGCAUAUCAAUAAGCGGAGGAAAAGAAACUAACAAGGAUUCCCUUAGUAACGGCGAGUGAAGCGGGAAGAGCUCAAAUUUGAAAUCUUCAAGGUUUUACCUUGACGAAUUGUAGUUUAUAGAAGUGUUUUCUGUUGAGUUGCGGUAAAAGUUCUUUGGAAUAGGACAUCAUAGAGGGUGAGAAUCCCGUAUUUGACCGUUAUUCUCUAGCUGUGUGAUACACUUUCAAAGAGUCGGAUUGUUUGGGAAUGCAGUCCAAAAUGGGAUGGUAAAUUUCAUCUAAAGCUAAAUAUUGGCGAGAGACCGAUAGCGAACAAGUACCGUGAGGGAAAGAUGAAAAGAACUUUGAAAAGAGAGUUAAACAGUACGUGAAAUUGUCAAAAGGGAAGCGUUUGACACCAGUGUUGUUUAGUUGAAAAUCAAUUCAAUAGUUUUUGAUUCUAAGUAGUAUUGACUUCAUCAGCUUGCUGCUUUCUUCUCAGAAAUUAUUGAAUGCACUUUUCAGUUAACAAGUCAACAUCAAUUUCUUUUGUUGUAAAAGGGUAAGAGGAAGGUGGCUUGCGCUUCGGCUCAAGUGUUUAUAGCCUUUUAUCUCUGCAAUCGGAGAGAUUGAGGUCUGCAGCGUAGAUCCUUCGGGGUUAGAUACAUUGGUGCUAAGCUAUAGCCUUGUAUAGACAACUUGUUGACUAUGCUCAGUCAUGUAGCUUACUCGCUGAUGCUAUUUUACCUACGCUUAGGAUGUUGACACACGCGCGUGCUCG